rnacentral:misc_RNA from 1 species
UGGUUCUGGCAUCGAUGAAGAACGCAGCGAAGUGCGAUAAGUAAUGUGAAUUGCAGAAUUCAGUGAAUCAUCGAAUCUUUGAACGCACAUUGCGCCCUCUGGUAUUCCGGGGGGCAUGCCUGUUCGAGCGUCAUUACAACCCUCAAGCUUUGCUUGGUGGUGGGCGUACCGCUGCAAAGUGGUCGCCUCAAACGCAGUGGCGGUGCCGGCUGGCUUCACGCGUAGUAAAUGUCCCGCGUUGGAGCCUGGCGGUGGCUGCCAUCUCUCAUCUCAAGGUUGACCUCGGAUCAGGUAGGGAUACCCGCUGA